UUUCUUGAUUAGUGGCGCACGGGUGAGUAAUGCAUAGAUAAUGUGCCCCUUAGUUCGGGAUAGCCACUGGAAACGGUGAUUAAUACCGGAUACUCCUUCUUGUUAUAAGACAAGUCGGGAAAGUUUUUCGCUAAGGGAUCAGUCUAUGUUCCAUCAGCUUGUUGGUGAGGUAAUGUCUCACCAAGGCUAUGACGGAUAUCUGGUUUGAGAGGAUGAUCAGACACACUGGAACUGAGACACGGUCCAGACUCCUACGGGAGGCAGCAGUGAGGAAUAUUGCACAAUGGAGGAAACUCUGAUGCAGCAACGCCGCGUGGAGGAUGACGCAUUUCGGUGUGUAAACUCCUUUUAUUAGGGAAGAUAAUGACGGUACCUAAUGAAUAAGCACCGGCUAACUCCGUGCCAGCAGCCGCGGUAAUACGGAGGGUGCAAGCGUUACUCGGAAUCACUGGGCGUAAAGGGUGCGUAGGCUGGCUUUUAAGUCAGAUGUGAAAUCCAAUGGCUCAACCAUUGAACUGCAUUUGAAACUGAAAGCCUAGAGUUCAGAAGGGGCAGAUGGAAUUAGUGGUGUAGGGGUAAAAUCCGUAGAUAUCACUAGGAAUAUCAAAAGCGAAGGCGAUCUGCUGGGAUGAU
rnacentral:rRNA from 1 species